UUUUUUUUUUUUUUUUAUAAACAAGAUUAAAGGAACAUAAAUUGAUUGGAGUAAUACCGAACUAAAUAAUACUAUAAAUAAGCUCACAAAUAACAGAAGAAGAAAUUAGAAAUUCAUAUAUGGUGACGCUUUAACUCAAGAUCUCCUGCGUCUACAGUUUUAAACUCUAAUCGCUAAAUGAAUGCUUCAUGGCACAGCGGCCAAGAUAAGCAUGACUAAUUGUGUAGCCAAGUUUUAUUUUGCUUAUAUUAAAUUGAUACAAUGUAUUUUUUCCACUUUGGCGAAAGAGUUUUGAUAGCCAAAUUUUUUUUGAAAUAAUAUUUUGGUUAUAUUAUAAACAUAUUUCUCAACCUAUCUUUCCAUAUUUUCAACUACUUUUUUAUCUCAUAUAUAUCUGAUCACAAAAAGUGCAAUAGUAAUUAUUCCAAAUAAACACAAAAGAACUAGAAAAAAACAAGUAGAGCCUGCUUUUUUUUUCCACCGUGCGAAUAAAAUCUUAGAAAAGCAAUAAAAUAUAAAAGUAGAUCAAUUUGGGUUUCUUUUUUUCAAAACAGAGUGUGUUUGGAUAAAAGAUUAUUUGGGACAAUUUUUUAAAAAAAAAUAUUGUAACACUUUUUUGAUGUGAUAUAUAUGGAAUAGAAAGGUGAUUGAAAAUUAUAUUAAAAAUGCAAGCAAGUCAAUAUGUGUAAAUAAGGUAUAAACCAAACACACUAAGAUUACUUCGGGAAUAAACUCAAAAAAGCAUCAUUGUGGGGAUAAAUUUUGAGAUUGAUUCACUUUGGGAAUAGUAUUUGAAAAGAGUAUUAUUUUGAAAAAAAAAAUACAAUCCCAAUGCAUAGGUGUCACUAUGAUUAAGUGUGAAGUAUGAAACCCACUUACCUUACCAAACGCCCCGCGGAUAUUUCAACAAUGCCGUUUUGACCAAAAAAAAAAAAAACUAAAUUCAAUCAAAUUUACAAUUAGGCAUCAAGAUGCAGUGAGGAAAUUUGUUGGCAUUCAAACCAUACUUUAGGCACGAGAAAGCGAUUGCGAAAGCACAGUAGUUAUUUCACAGCUGUGUCAAUGCCAUCGUCUGCAAGGGUACUGUUCCGCUCUCUGCCCAUCACAUGCGAUCAUUUUCAUGUAUUGCUUGGUAUACAAAAUCGUAUUGAUUAAAAAAAAUUAGUUUUAUAAAAAUAAAACAUUUCACUUACAAUCAAGUGCCACUAUCCGGUGCAAUGGUGAAUGGUACACUAAAUAUAACAAAUGCAAAAACUCGAUAGAACUGCUUCUCAUUAAAAAUAAAUUCCCUCCAAAAAAUGCUUCCUUGUUACAUUGCCCCCUAAAUGUUUAAUUGAAUUAAUUCACUCCCUGUGAUAGUAUAAUUGGAUGGAAUUCACCAUCAAAAGAUGAUGGUUUUACUCUCUGUGAUGGAUGGAAUUCACGGGCAAAAGAUGAUGACUUUCACUUAUGUUUACUCUAAAGCGUGAAAACUUUUGUUUUGUAUGCUAUUGAAUUUCGGGAUAAUUUCACAAACCUCCCCUGAUAUUUUUGAUAAUUUCACUCAACUCCUUUUAGGUUUAAGAAAUUACACUACCCUCCUUUGAUGUGAAAAUGUGACUAUAAUGUCAUUCACUUAAUAGAUAAUUCACAAUAUGAUGCAAGGGUUAAAUAAAACCAAGAAAAAGAAAAAGGAGAAAGAAACCCAACCUCUUUUAGUCUUUAUCAAUCACCAUUCCUUCUUUCUCCCUUUUCUCUCACUCUUGUAAGAACGAUUCUUUCUUCCUUUCUCUUAUCGUCUCUAUGUCCUUCCUCUCCUCUUACCUCUUCUCUAUAUCCAUAUCUUUGUCUAUCUUAAUGAUGACCUACCAUACCGUAACCAUCUCUGUUUACUUGAUGAAUAUGGCGUUAUUUUACUUGCAGAAGCAUAUUUCAUUUUCAACUAAAGAGAGAUGAAUGUGCUUGUAGUGAUGAUAAAAAUAAUGCAAUUAAUAAUUAGAAGCAUGGACGAGGAGGGAUUAGUAGAAAAAUUGUUGGGUUGAUUGUUAUCCUGAAAACUUGUAUAGGAUGUUAAUAAAUGCAUUUGAUUUUCUUUACUUAAUUAAUAUUGUUGGUUCUUGUUUUGUUAUAGAUGGUUUACUCUAUUUUACGACAUUAAUAUAUAUUUUUAUGGAGGUCAAAGUAUCGUUCUACUGGUGGUGGUAGGUGAGAUUAUUUAUUGUUUGUGGCAAUGAUGGAUAUUGAAUUGAAAUUUAGAGUAUGAGUUUGGUUGUUGUUUGUCAAAGGAGAAUUGAUUUUUUUAAAACAUUUAGGCUGAGAUGAUAUUACAAGACAGGGUUGACAUUUUUGGAGCUGCUAAAAUUCUUGAACUGUCAACCUGUUUGCUUAGUAGGUUUGUCACAUGUUUGGAAAUUAUUAGAUUUGGCGUUGAUAUUUGAAGUGUUUGCUUGAUAGUGGUGUUGUUUCAAAUUUGGAAGAAAGUGUUGAGAAAACUAAUUUCCUUUUGUCUUUUUAUAGAACAAGGGUACUUUAGGGUGUUUGAGAAAAAAUCUAGCCUGAUGGAUCUAUAUUCUUACCUAAAUAGUAAAAGCAAGGGUAAUUUCUAACAGCUAGUUUUUGAGUUUAUGAUAGAAAAGAAAGGAUGAGAAAACUUAAGCUAUGAGAGAAAAGAAGAAAAGAGAAGAGAAAUAAUUUUAAUGUUGUUUGGGAGUUUUGAAAAGAAAUGGAAUGAUUUUGAAUAUAUAUAUCAAUAAAAAAUUCAUUCAAUAGUUUUGUGAGGAUAAAAUGGGUAAUUUGAAAAAGUUUUGUAAGCUUCCAUCAAUUUUCCUUCGCUUUCCGCCUGUUUUGGUCAAAAAAAAUUUUGCAUUGCAGUAGCGCUUGGCAUCCUUCAAAAUCUGUUCGUUUCUUUUCUUUUCCAUCUCACUUAAAAAUCCCAAAUGUAGGAAAAUCCACCUUUCUCUUCCUUUUUUUACGUUUCCUUUGAAAUCUGAACUCCUAAACUAGCUGUAAAACUUAUGGGGAGCUCUCCGCAACUGUUAGAUACUUCAGGGAGGUUUGUGAAAUUAUCUCCAUGUACAAAGCCUUUUGAAAUUUCCACGUGGUGCAUUGUUAUUGUUAGGCCCCACAGGGUACUGGCCAGCUCGUUCCGUCCCCACACGGUGCAUUAUUGCGGUGCACCAGACCACAAUAAAUCAGAGUGGUACGGUGCUGGCUUGUUCGUUCUACGGUGCACCAGACCGGAAUAAAUUUGGUUCAAGCAUUAUUGCUAGUCCAAUGGAGAAAAAAAAAAAAGAAAAGUUAGAUUAAAACUAAAAUGCAUAAUCAAAUAUAGCUAUCUGUACACCUUAAACAUACUGUAAAAUAUUUAACUAUUAACAACUAAAAGUUUAACGAUAGUAGAUAAAAAUUACAAAAACGGUAUUGCUAAAUGAUGCGAAAGAGAAUUGAAAUUAUUUUGUGAAUUAAGUAUGUUUGGAUAGGAGAUUAUUUGAGAUAAUUUUUUGAAAAAUAUAUUGUAGCACUUUUUUGAUGUGAUAUGUGUGAGAUAAAAGUGUAGUUAAAAAAUAUGUUGAUGAUACAAGUAAGUCAGUGUGUGUAAAUAAGAUACAAACUAAACAAUCUCAUAGUCAGUGUGUGUAAAAUGAAAGUUCAUUUGGAAGUACAAUACUAAUGUCCUAUUUGAAUCGUUAUAUUAUAAAAUAUUUAAAGAAAUACACGGCAAUGAUUUGAUAUAUAUUAAAUAAAAAUAUAUUUAUAAAGAAAUAUAUAAAGAGUUUGAUGAUUCUUCCAUUUCGUCAAUCACUUCAAGAGAAAAUUCAUUUGCCCGAAAAAGACGCUCAGUUGAUGGUUCUACAGCCGUUGGACUCUUGCGUCGCUCACGAAAACAAUUUGAUCCUUGAGCACAUCUUUUGUUACUCCCUCUGUCUCAUUUAUUUAGUCAUAUUUGGAGAAUUGAAUUUUUUAAAAAUAGUGAUUUAAUUGUGAUGUUUAUACUUUUUUUUUCAAUUUUACCUCCAUAAAUUCAAAUUUUAAAUUUGAAUAGUAACAUGUAUUUGAUUAGAAAGAAUGACCAUAUUGAAAAGAGAUAUUAAAAGGCGUUUUAACUUUUUUAACGUGACAAUUAUUUUAGGAUAUUUUAAAAUAAAAAGUACUAUAUUUUCAAUGGAAUAGAAGGAAUAUUAUUUAUUAUCCUGUGUGUUCUUUUUUUGGCAACGUGAAUUAUGGCCGCUUGACUUUCAUAUUCUCGUCAUUAUAUUUUGGUCAUUGGUUUUUAUUUCUUUUUUUCAUUUCAAAUUGGUAAUCAAACUACCAUGACAUCGCCCCUACUCCAUCUAAUUUAAUCGAUAGGUAAAUAGAGUGUUUUAACUCUGAAAUGUGAAACCUUUUUGUUUUGUUGUAUGCUAUUGAAUUUCUUCAUGUACAAAGCCUUUUGAAAUUUCUUCAGUUGCAUUAUUGUUGUUAGGCCCCACACGGUCAUUCCGUCCCCAUGCGGGGCGGAAUUACGGCAAUAAUGCAACAUUUCUUUGCAACAUUUUCUUUUAGAGUCAGACAGCUCGUUGGAAAAAGCUGCAACCGAUAAGGCAUGAUUCCAUGACAUUUGUAAGAAGUUUUUUUUGGAGCUUAGAAGUGGACAAGGGGCGCGGACGGUUGCAGGUGUAAUCGUUCCGAACGAUUUUGGUCAUUUUUAAUUGCACGUAACUUCCUUUGUACAUCGCGUAAUUUUUUUUGUAUAUCGUGUAAUUUUAGAGCAAAUUUUUGUGGAACCCACACAUGACGUGAAAAUCGAGUUACAACUUGUAAUUUCAACCGCAUAAAUUUUUGAGACCAGUUCAUAGCCAUUAAUUGUUCAGGGAUGAUCAUGACCGUCCCUGCCCCAUUUCCCUUAGCAGUGGACAACUGGCGGUUAGCAGUGGGGCCGGUGACCAGGGGUGGGGCGGGGCCAGGGGAAGGGGAAUACAGCAAUAACAACUAAUUAAUUAAACAAAAUGUACAGCAAUGCACUGAGAAAUCUUUGCCAAAUUCGAUGCAUAAAAGCGAAUUGAGAUCCAAAACCCUACUAAUUCAAUUAGGAGAAUUGACAAGGAAGUAAGAAAGAAUCCAACAAGUUACUUGAGCAGUAGUACUACCACACACAGCUUCUCAGUGUCCUGUUUGAUUUCAACACUUACAACAGUUACUCCUUUCUAUAUCUAACACGCCUUCCUUUUUGUUCGAAGUUAAGACGUUAUCUGGAUUGUAGUUUUCUAAUGAAAAUUUUUUGUGUUUUUUAUUAAUACAUAUUUUUAUCAUUUUUCUUUCUCACGUGAGAAAAUGAUUUUAUUAAAACUACAAGCCAGCUACGCCACUCUCUCUUUUUAUUUCCAUCAUCCUUGAUGCCAGGGUACUCGGCCAAGACAAGAAUUGUCUCCGCCAGUAAAAUUUGCAAAUGACGAGAGGAAGAAUAGCAUAAUCAAAAAUUCAAUUCAUUAUGCUACCACAACAAUUGCAGCAUGAAGUAAGAUACCGCAUGCAAAAUGGCACAAAUAUUGUCAAAAAUCAAACCACAUGAAAAGAAGAAAAUGAAAUUCCAUUCGACCCCAACAAUCCUGCAAAUUACAAUAAUCACUAUAACAUUAGCUUCAAUUACAAUAGGAGGGAGGAUUGUCCUAAGUGUAAGCAUUCAUCAACUACUUCAUCAUCCCAAUUAAUCCCAUUUGUGGAUGGAUCAAGGAUCUGCCUACAGUUACGUAAAACAAGAAUAAAUUACUACUCCAUUUGUUAGUGCAUGUAAUGUGCAUUUGCCAUCACUUAAAAUCGAAAGGCGACUGCACUGCAGUCGUUCCUCCGAUGAUCCGUCCGCUGCUUUGAACUUUUCACCGCGGCAUCCGUCGCUUCAAUUAUUAUUGUUUCUUCUUUUGGAGCAUUCCAACUCUACAAACACUAAAAUCCCCAACACUAUAAACUAUCUCUUUGGCCCUUUUUUCUUUCUAUUUUGGCGAAACUUAAAUGCUUAGGACUUUUUUCUUUCUACUUUCUUUUUUUUUUAGGGCGGUUGUCCGGGCUAACUUUCUGAUUAAAGAUUUGGUGAAUUUCAGGGGAGCACCAAACGGAUUUACUCUACGAAGGCAAAGUACAACAAACAGCUACGGCAGUACACUUUUGACUUCGGGCACAACGAAAGUACAUGCAUUCCUUAUUAUAUAAGAAAACUGUGUAGUACACUGCGGGUUUCUCUUUUCCCAAUUCUUCCACGACGGAAAAAUCAACCAUGGCUUAAAGUAUCAUAGACCAAUUUGGUGGAAUAGAUCAUCGUACGAAUUAAGACUUUUUGAGACGACCAGCAACUAUUUUCACGCCAUACAAUGGCUUCUUGUCAGUUGUCAGGGGAUCAUUACA
rnacentral:lncRNA from 1 species